GAUGAACGCUGGCGGCGUGCCUAACACAUGCAAGUCGAGCGGACGGACGCGAAGCUUGCUUUUUUGAUGUUAGCGGCGGACGGGUGAGUAACACGUGGAUACCCUCCCUAUCAUACUGGGAUCACUUCGGGAAACCGGAGCUAAUACCGGAUAAUCUUUUGCACCGCAUGGUUCAAAAGUGAGAGACGGUCUUGCUGUCACUUCUAGAUGCAUCCGCGCUGCAUUAGCUAGUUGGUAAGGUAACGGCUUACCAAGGCAACGAUGCAUAGCCGACGGGAGAGGGGGAUCGGCCACACUGGAACUGAGACGCGGUCCAGGCGACUACGAGAGGCAGCAGUAUGGAAUCGUCCGCAAUGGGCGAGAGCCUGACGGAGCGAGGGCGCGUGAGUGAUGAAGGUCUUCGGAUCGUAAAGCUCGGUUAUUAGUGAAGAACAGAUGUGUAAGUAACUGUGCACAUCGUGACGGUACCUAAUCAGAAAGCCACGGCUAACUACGUG
rnacentral:rRNA from 1 species